UAUUCUGCCCUACGGGGAAGGAUGAGAAGCUUCGACUAAGGUUCGACUCGAGCGUCAGCGAGAGAACGUUGCCGCAGGCAACG
rnacentral:sRNA from 1 species